UAAUACGGGGGGGGCAAGCGUUGUUCGGAUUUACUGGGCGUAAAGGGCUCGUAGGCGGCCAUCUAAGUCGGUUGUGAAAUCCCUCGGCUCAACCGGGGAACUGCAGUCGAUACUGGGUGGCUUGAAGCCGGGAGAGGGAUGCGGAAUUUCAGGUGUAGCGGUGAAAUGCGUAGAUAUCUGAAGGAACACCCGUGGCGAAGGCGGCAUCCUGGACCGGUCUUGACGCUGAGGAGCGAAAGCUAGGGGAGCGAACGGGAUUAGAUACCCCGGUAGUCCUAGCCCUAAACGAUGAAUGCUUGGUGUGGCGGGUAUCGAUCCCUGCCGUGCCGUAGCUAACGCGUUAAGCAUUCCGCCUGGGGAGUACGGUCGCAAGGCUG
rnacentral:rRNA from 1 species